GACGAACGCUGGCGGCGUGCUUAACACAUGCAAGUCGAACGGAAAGGCCCUGCUUGCAGGGUACUCGAGUGGCGAACGGGUGAGUAACACGUGGGUGAUCUGCCCUGCACUUCGGGAUAAGCCUGGGAAACUGGGUCUAAUACCGGAUAGGAGCCAUUUUUAGUGUGAUGGUUGGAAAGUUUUUUCGGUGUAGGAUGAGCUCGCGGCCUAUCAGCUUGUUGGUGGGGUAAUGGCCUACCAAGGCGGCGACGGGUAGCCGGCCUGAGAGGGUGGACGGCCACAUUGGGACUGAGAUACGGCCCAGACUCCUACGGGAGGCAGCAGUGGGGAAUAUUGCACAAUGGGCGCAAGCCUGAUGCAGCGACGCCGCGUGGGGGAUGACGGCCUUCGGGUUGUAAACUCCUUUCGCUAGGGACGAAGCUUUUUGUGACGGUACCUAGAUAAGAAGCACCGGCUAAAUACGU
rnacentral:rRNA from 1 species